rnacentral:rRNA from 1 species
UACGUAGGGAGCAAGCGUUGUCCGGAAUCAUUGGGCGUAAAGCGCGCGUAGGUGGCCCUGUAAGUCCGUUGUGAAAGUCAAAGGCUCAACCUUUGAAAGCCGAUGGAUACUGCAGGGCUAGAGUACGGAAGAGGCGAGUGGAAUUCCUGGUGUAGCGGUGGAAUGCGCAGAUAUCAGGAGGAACACCAGCGGCGAAGGCGGCGCUCUGGGCCGGUACUGACGCUGAGGAGCGAAAGCGUGGGGAGCAAACAGG